GGACCGGUAGUUCAGUUGGUUAGAAUACCGGCCUGUCACGCCGGGGGUCGCGGGUUCGAGUCCCGUCCGGUCCGCCA
rnacentral:tRNA from 40 species